GAUGUCACCGAUGGGUACAACUGGACAUCAGAUGAUGUCUACAUCUGUGAUGUCACGGACGGGCACAGCUGGACAUCAGGUGAUGUCCACUGCAGUGAUGUCACCCAUGUGUACAACUGGACAUCAGAUGAUAUCCACAUCUGUGAUGUCACCGAUGGGUACAACUGGACAUCAGAUGAUGUCUACAUCUGUGAUGUCACCGACGGGCACAACUGGACAUCAGGUGAUGUCCACUGCAGUGAUGUCACCCAUGUGUACAACUGGGCAUCAGAUGAUGUCCACAUCUGUGAUGUCACCGACGGGUACAACUGGACAUCAGAUGUAGCAGUAGGUCAGAUUUCACUAGGUAGCUACUGAAGGUGGAGGAAAGAGCCGAGUUCCAUUAUGAUCUGCAGAGGUAAUUUGGGCAUAGUAAAGGGGGAAGGAGGGAAGAAUUCAGCUUGGGACUCGGUGAAGUAAGAAGUAGGGGCAGUCGUUGUGAAUGCAGUUAGGUCAGCUGUGUUGGUGGCAGUGGUCUAAGAAUUCUGUCUUCCCCCAGAGACUGGGAGAGAGAACCUGUCCUACUGGAUGAUUAUAUUUCAAGGUAAUGGCUCUCAGGCUCUGAGCCCCUCUGAGUUGCAAGAGGUGCAUGUUGUCAUGCAAGUCCUUUCUAUUAAAUGACCGGAGAGAGGGAGGUUGGGGCCUGUCGUCAGGUGUUGGCCAGGACAGAGUAAGUUUUCUUGGAAGCCUUGAGCUUUCCUCAGGCAGUUGUUUUGAGGGACGAGGUGGAGGUGGGGUGUUGCACAUGAGGCACAAACUGAGCUGAGUCCCUGAGCUCAGGGGAUUUGCUUCCAGCAGGGUGUGUGGACUUGGGGGAACACCAUCUUCCUACCUGCCUCAGGAGGACUGGACUCAUGCAUCCCCGACCAGGAAGCCCCCCACCCCAGACUCUAGAGGGCAGAGGCACUGACUGCUCUGCCUUUGGCUGCCAUGGGGAGUGCCCGCCCUCAGCCCCCUAGUAAACACUCAGAGUCCCUAACCAUUCCUGUGUUGGCCUGUGGCCUUUUCUGCAGCCAGCAGGGCCUGGUGUCCCACAAAGGAGAUGCCUGUAAGGGAGGCACAGUUGGAGGCCUGGGCUGUGAAGGGCCUUUUGCUCCUCCUGUGCUGAACAGGCAGUGUGCUAGUCCUGAAAGUCAGAAUCCUGACUCAGCAAGCUGCGUCGUGCCCAUUUUGGGAAAACAGACUAAGUCCCUGGAGCUGCCCCUUGGCUGGGACUGGGUCUCCUGAGAAAGGGUGCCUAUGCAGUUAUCAGAGGCCCUGGGUGGAGGCAGGAGGUCCCUCUUCAGCGCCUGCACUCGGCCUCUAUGGGGAGACAUAUCCACCCUCAGCUUCCUGACAACCAGCACCCCCAACUCCUCUCCCCUUUCUGUCUUGUUUGACCCCCAGGGUGUUCUUCCCUCACCCCUUUAAAGGGCCAGCUUGGGCCCAGUGGACACAUGUGAGAUGCCUUGACCAGGUGGAACGUCCUCUCCUUUGCCUCCUGAGAUUAAAAGGGACAUUUUUGCUGUUACAAGCUGUGGAUGGCUGGGAGGUGGGCUGAAGGCCAUGUAAGGGGUGGGAUUUGUCUAGUUCUGUCCUUUCUGGGGCCCAGGAACAGCAAGGUGGAGGCUCAGUGUCCAGUCCCAGGAAGGCUGACAUCUUACUGCUCCUUGUCCUCAUCCUGUACUGGCUCCAGGAGGUUGAAAGCUGAGGCCAGAGUGCCCAGACAGUCAGUGUGGGAAGUGACCACCUGGCAGUGGUGAGGGCCUGUGAAGUGCCCUGCUCCUGUCCCCUCCCUAUGUGAGAUGAGCUUGGGGAGACAGAGGGUGGGCAGAAUGUGCCUGUGUCAUUCUCCUACAGAGCCUAGCAAAGUGCCACCAACUGGAUAGCUUAGACACACAGAGACGUGUGGCCUCAGACUCUGAAGUCCAGAGCUCUGGAACUGAGGUGUUGGCUGCAUUCCCCGGGAUGGUCUCCCUGCAGCCUCUCUAGUUUCCAGGCUUUGGCAGCAGAGCUUCAGUCUCCACAGGGUGUUUUUCCUGGGUCUGAUUCCUCCUAUUUAUAAGACACAAGGCUGUGCAGAUUUUUUUCUAUAAAUUUUACAAUUUUGCACUUGAAAAUUUGACUUUAUGGAUUAUUUUGAGUAGCUUUUUGGAUAAGCCAUAAAGAUCGCGUUUGAGUUUCAUGUGGUUCAUUUUUAUUUUCACAACUGUUCUGUAGCCAUUCAUGGUUACAGAUUUUUUCUCUCCAUCGAGUUGCCUUUGUUCCUUUAAGAGGACCACUUGACUGGUUUUACAUGGGUCUUUUUGGGGCUCAUUCUUCUGUUCCUUUUGUCUAUUUCCAAUUCCUUUCUCACUGCCACACUCUGGGAUCACUGAAGCUUUAUGAUAAGUGCUGUAACCAGAUGUGCAGAGUCUUGAACUAUUUUUUAAAAUAUCUUUAUUUUGUUUGUUUAUUUUUAUGUGGUGCUGAGGAUCCAACUCAGUGCUUCACAUGUGUGAGGCAGGUGCUCUGCCACUGAGCCACAUUCCCAGCCCCCUUUUGAGCUAUUUUUGAUCACUCCUAUGCCAUAUCUUCUAGGCUCAGCAUUUGUAGGUAUCUUCUGUGGUGUUGUGAUUGGGAUUCUGCUAAAUCUAAAGAUCAAAUUAGAAAGAAGUACCUUGCUAACAUUAAUGGUUGAAUUGAUCCUGAGCAAGGAAAAUCACUGCAUUUAUUUAUGUUUCUUUUCAUUCCUUUCAACCAUGUUCAAAGUUUUCUAAAUGCAUACUUGUAUAUGUGUUGUCAGAAUAAUCCUUCAGUAUUUCAGGAGUGCUAUUUUUUUUAAAAUUCAAAUUCCAGUAAUUCCUGUGUGGCCUACACAUAGCACACCAGUUUCCUUUUGUCCCUUCGCCAUCUGUUUUCCCUUUGAUAUUUCCAUUUGACUUGGGCUGUUUUCUGUUGCUGUAUCUGCUCAACUGAGGCUGAGUCAUUCAUUAAAAAGCUAUUUUUAGUGCUGGGGAUAUAGCUCAGUUGGUAGAGUGCUUGUUUCACAUGCACAAAGCCCUGGUUCAAUCCCCAGCACCAAAAGAAAAAAAAAAGCUAUUUUUACUUUAAGGUGUGUAGAGAGUCCCAGGUCAGGGGCUGCAUCUGUUGAAGGCCUCUUCUGGAAGGGACUCUGCAGUAUCCUGAGACACUGUGUGAAAAGACCAGCU